rnacentral:tRNA from 1 species
GCACCAGUGGUCUAGUGGUAGAAAUAGUACCCUGCCACGGUACAAACCCGGGUUCGAUUCCUGGCUGGUGCA